AAUGUGAGUUGGCCCUGCGAUGAGGGGGCGACUUGUCCAGGGUGUACACCGCCUUCCGCCCGAUGUAGCUGGGAUAGGCACCAGUGCCCCCGGCGACCCCAAAGGAAAUAAGUGGUAGAAAUGGAUGGAAGGAUGGAUGGAUGGAUAUGACAUCAUUAAACACACACGUUCAAAUGUAUCUGUUCUCCCUGCUGAGUAAAGUACACAAUGUUAUUAUUACAUUAUUCUGUUACCACACCUAGGCACCUGCUUGCAGGGCUGCACUGGAAUGAAAACUCGAGCCGCCCUACAGACACUACGAAAGCGGGUGCUGAGUGCUAUGCAGUACGCUACCCGAAGUAUAAAGCAGGGGGCCAUGUGGUCAAGAAAAUCACGACAGAGCCAACAUACCGCUACGUAGAUGACUUGAUCAGGGAGGUUUUUGCUGGCUGCAGACAGACCCCUGACGAGAGAACACCAGUCAGCGUCACUGUGGAUGAACUGGAGAAGUCAGACAAGGAAAGAGCCAUCGCCAAGCACAGGAGUCGCUUCGCUAAGCGUUAACUACAGUGGCCAUGUGGAUUCUGUUGCAGUCACUGCACGUCUUGGAACCCUGGGUAGUCCAUCGAUAGAAAUGUUGUUCUGAUCUUAUUUACUACACAAGCUGGUAGUGCCACCCUUAUCUCCUUUUCCAGAAAUCCCGAGCAGAAGCGGACAAACUGUCGAUAUGCUGUGUACUGUCUCCACCUGGAAGAUACACAGUGACUCACUGUUCUCUGAGAUGCAAAAGACAUUGUCAUGCAUUCUAUUCAUUUGUCAUUUACUGUUGCAGUAAAUCGUAAAUAUUGUUGACAUCUACGGUCCAUGUAUGUAAUACUUCUAUGAUAUAUAAUGUAAUUUACUAUGUAGAACAGUACAUAUCACAGAAUAAGAAUCAGAUAAGAAAGUGCUCAUUCUGACUUAUCUUCCAAAGGUUGAUAGAAUAAAGAAUUAUUUAAACUUA